rnacentral:rRNA from 1 species
CCUACGGGUGACAGCAGUGGGGAAUAUUGCACAAUGGGGGCAACCCUGACGCAGCGACGCCGCGUGAGUGAAGAAGUUCUUCGGAAUGUAAAGCUCUAUCAGCCGGGACGAAAAUGACGGUAGCUGCGAAAGAAGCCCCGGCAAACUACGUGCCAGCAGCCGCGGUAAUACGAAGGGGGCGAGCGUUAUCCGGAUUUACUGGGCGUAAAGGGAGUGUAGGCGGAAGUGUAAGUUUGCGGUGAAAGGCCGGGGCUCAACCCCGGGACUGCCAUUAUGACUGUGUGGCUGGAGUGCAGGAGAGGAUAGUGGAAUACCUAGUGUAGCGGUGAAAUGCGUAGAUAUUGGGUAGAACACCAGUGGCGAAGGCGGCUAACUGGACUGUAACUGACGUUGAGGCUCGAAAGCAUGGGGAGCAAACAGGAUUAGAUACCCUUGUAGUC